UACGAAGGGGGCUAGCGUUGCUCGGAAUCACUGGGCGUAAAGGGUGCGUAGGCGGGUCUUAAGUCAGGGGUGAAAUCCUGGAGCUCAACUCCAGAACUGCCUUUGAUACUGAAGAUCUUGAGUUCGGGAGAGGUGAGUGGAACUGCGAGUGUAGAGGUGAAAUUCGUAGAUAUUCGCAAGAACACCAGUGGCGAAGGCGGCUCACUGGCCCAUUACUGACGCUGAGGCACGAAAGCGUGGGGAGCAAACAGG
rnacentral:rRNA from 1 species